rnacentral:rRNA from 1 species
AAUCAAACUGGGAAAUAGCUCGUACUCUCCGAAAUGCAUUUCGGUGCAGCCUGUGAUGUUCUGUUCCAGAGGUAGAGCUACUGGUUGGACGCGAGGGCUUCACCGCCUAUCAAAUCCGGAUAAACUCCGAAUGCUGGAACACGAAAUCAUGGAGUGAGCCCGCGGGUGCUAAGGUCCGCGGACGAGAGGGAAAGAACCCGGACCACCGGCUAAGGUCCCGGAUGGACAGUUAAGUUGAUCAAACGAGGUGGGAUCGCUGAGACAGCUAGGAUGUUGGCUUGGAAGCAGCCAUUCAUUUAAAGAGUGCGUAACAGCUCACUAGUCGAGCGAUCCCGCGUGGAUAAUACACGGGCAUCAAACUGUCAACCGAAGCCGUGGGGGCAGCGAAAAGCUGACCGGUAGGAGAGCAUUCCUGCCAGCGUUGAAGGUCACCCGCGAGAGUGACUGGAGCGGCAUGAAAAGCAAAUGUAGGCAUAAGUAACGAUAAUGGGGGCGAGAACCCCCCACGCCGCAAGACCAAGGAUUCCCCGGCAAUGUCAAUCAGCCGGGGGUCAGCCGGCCUCUAAGGCUCACCCGAAAGGGGAUGCCGACGAGAAACGGGUUAACAUUCCCGUGCUUCUCGUCACCGUGACGCGGUGACGGGGUGAUGAAUGGACCGCGCGCUGACGGAAUAGCGCGUUGAAGGCCGUACCCUGUGACGGUGGUAGUCAAGCACGCCACCGGAGGCGAAAGUCGAUAGUACCUCGAGGCCUCGGCCGAGGGGAUAGCGUCCAGGCAAUUUACCCCCUAGAAAACCCGCUAAACUUCAAGUGACGAGGAACCGUACUGUAAACGGACACACGUGGUCGGGUAGAACAUACCAAGGCGCUCGAGUGAUUCAUGGUCAAGGAACUAGGCAAAAUAGUCCUGUAACUUCGGGAAAAAGGACGCUCUAGUGAUAGAGCCGCAGAGUAAUGGCCCAGGCGACUGUUUACCAAAAACACAUGGCUAUGCCAAAUCGAAAGAUGACGUAUAUGGCCUGACACCUGCCCGGUGCCGGAAGGUUAAGAGGAGAGCUCAUCGGAAACGAGAAGGUUUGAAUUGAAGCCCCGGUAAACGGCGGCCGUAACUAUAACGGUCCUAAGGUAGCGAAAUUCCUUGUCGGGUAAGUUCCGACCUGCACGAAUGGUGUAACGAUCUGGGCACUGUCUCGACCAUGAGCUCGGUGAAAUUGUAGUUCCGGUGAAGAUGCCGGGUACCCGCGACGGGACGGAAAGACCCCGUGAACCUUUACUGCAGCUUCGCGUUGUUCCCGGGCACGGGACGUGUAGGAUAGGUCGGAGGCUACGAUUCGGUUUCGCCAGGAAUCGAGGAGCCAUCGUUGAAAUACGACCCUUCUCUUGUCUGGGAUCUAACCCUAGGUACAGGGGACACCGCGUGGUGGGUAGUUUGACUGGGGUGGUCGCCUCCAAAAGCGUAACGGAGGCUUCCAAAGGUACCCUCGGGUUGGUUGGUAAUCAACCUCAGAGUGCAAUGGCACAAGGGUGCUUGACCGGGAGACCAACGAGUCGAUCGGGUGCGAAAGCAGGGCAUAGUGAUCCGGUGAUCCCGCGUGGAAGGGUCAUCGCUCAAAGGAUAAAAGGUACUCCGGGGAUAACAGGCU